rnacentral:lncRNA from 10 species
GGGAAUAAAAGCUGACUGCCGGAGCCAGCAGUGGCAACCCACUUGGGUCUCUUUCCACCGUGUGUCAGCUUUGGUCUUUUGUUCUUUGCAACAGGUCUUGCUGCUGCUCCCUCUUUGGGUCCGCACUGCCUUUAUGAGCUGUAACAGUCACCGCGAAGGUCUGCAGCUUCAAUCCUGAGGCCAGCGAGACCACGAACCCACCAGGAGGAAUGAACAACUCCGGAUGGGAGGAACGAACAACUCCGGAUGGGAGGAACGAACAACUCCAGACGCGCGCCGCUUUAAGAGCUGUAACAUUCACUGCGAAGGUCUGCAGCUUCACUCCUGAAGCCAGCGAGACCAUGAACCCACCAGAAGGAAGAAACUCCGAACACGUCCGAACAUCAGAAGGAACAAACUCCAGACACACCAUCUUUAAGAACUGUAAUACUCACCGCGAGGUUCGGCAGCUUCAGUCUUGAAGUCAAUGAGUCCAAGAACCCACCAAUUCUGGACACAGUAGGAUAGUGUGUUAUGAAGAUGUAUUUAUUAGGAGGUCACUGAAAACAGGACAGAAGGCUCUGAGCUAUGUGCUCUGCUAAGUGGAACUAUUUUGUUUACAUGCACCAACGCCCCAUUUGCAGAGAACCACGACGUAAUCAGUGCAAGAUACACAAAGGCAGGAAAGUUUCAUUGUAUUGAGCAGCAGUGACUGGACAUCUCUAACUGCAGCCAAAUUCUGCAGAUUAUCGAGAAAACAGUUUGCAAAGGAGUGAGAAAACGUCAUUCAAGAAAACUUUCCUGGUUUGGGUGGACAUAGCCGAAGUGGAUUUGAAUAUCUGUCUUUACAAGUCAAAAUUUAUACCAGGAAGCUCUAAUGAAAAUGGUGUCACUCAACAAAUCUAUAAGUAAAUUCAUUCUAAAGACUUAAUGAAUUCAUUCCCAACAUCUGGAACAUUAUUAAUUUCCUUUCAUUCUUUGCAACCUACAUAAUUAAAUUAAGAAAUUAUAAUUUAGGUCAGCCUGUUGUGAAGAGAUUUUAUUUAAUGUAAUCAGUCUUUAGAAGAGCCUGUUCCUAGUCACCUUUGUUGCCCUUUCAAGAACAUCAAAGCACUAUCUAGAGUGAUGAAAAGCAUGGCCUGUGAUGCUGGGUUGGAAGCCCAGCCCAGCCUGCCCCUCCUAUCACUAUCUAUGUGUGAAUUUGGUAAAUUGCUGAAACUCUAAGCAUUUGUUUCUCUAUCUUUAAAAAGGGGUCAUAAGAAUAGUAAUAACCUCACUGGGCAUUAGUGAGGAUCUGAUGAAUUCGUGUGAGCAAUGCCCUCUACCCAGUGCCUGACACAGUAACUGGUCAAUAAAAGAUUGUUUGCCAUGUUUGAAAAGUAAGCAGUAUAAUAUUUUUUACUAUAUAGUACUCUGUUGCCACAAUGUAACUAUGUAACUAGAGUUAAGUAGAAAUGCUCCUAUUGACAAAGAAUUUUGAUAUUUCUAGGAUGUGAAGCUGAUUCUACUUUGUUCUAUAAAAUCCUUCAAUGGUUUCCCAUAAUUUUGCCAAAAGUGUGCAAAACCCUCAUCGUGAUACACAGAUUAUCUCAUCAUCUUCCCUGCCCUCACUCCAUAUUUUCCCAGCUUUGUUCACUACACUCUGGGCUGGAAUAGAUGCACUAGACAUACGACACUGCUAAUUGCCCCUUGUCCAUGGCCGUGUUCCUUUGUAUAAGCUGUUGGCAACCCUCUCUUUGCCUUCCUUUACCUUCUGCCACACUUGUGCUCCUCUUUAU